GUCAGGAUGGCCGACCCGGUGGGAAGGCGCCAGACUCAAGGCUUAAAUUUCUUACUCGCUUCAGAGGUUUUUCGGUCUCUGAAAAAGGAGGGCGUGGGUUCAAACCCACUCCUGACA